CAGUGUUACGGAUCUUUUAGAAUUUGUCUAGCAGCUUUUCCCAUCCUGACCGGAAGACCCCC
ensembl:snRNA U7 U7 small nuclear RNA